rnacentral:lncRNA from 1 species
GAACUAGCCUGGCUUAGAAAAGGGUCGAGUACAUUCUUGGAAGAAGUGCUACAACAUGUCAACAAGGAUUGACUAGAUUUAUUUACAAGUUAGGCAAAAUAUAAAUCAACUGACAUUUAUAAGCUGGGUAUUUGUAUUCAUGGAGUCACUCUUGGAGUCAUCUUGCAUUCCUCUUUCUCACACAUGCCAUGUUAUUAGAAAAUGUUAUUGGCUAAAUCUAUAGACUGUAUGUUCAAAACACAUCUCAAAUCAGACCACUUCUCCCCGUCUCCAUGACUGCUUGCCAGGUCCAAGUCACCAUCAUCUCUUGCCUGGACUACUAUAAAAACAUCUUACUUGGUUGUAUUGGCUUUCUGUUGUUGUAUAACAAAUUACCACAAAUUUAGUGGCUUAAAACAACACACAUUCAUUAUCUCACAGUUUCCACAGGUCAGGAGUCUGGAAAUGGCUAAACUGGAUACCCUGCUCAGAGCUGACAGUCUGUAAUCAAGUUGUUGGCAGGCUACAUUCUUAUCUGGAGGUUUGACUAAGAAAGAAUCCAUCUUUCAGUUCACUCAAAUUGUUGGCAAAAUUCAAUUUCAUGUAGUUGUAGAACUGAGGGCCCAUCCUCUUACUGGCUGCUGGCUGGCGACUGACCAUAGGUCUUAGAGGUCCCUCACAGUUCCCUGACUGGUGGCCCACUCCACAAGCCAUAGGUGGUUUGCUUCUUUAACAUAAUCAGGAGAAUUUGUCACAUUCUAGUCUGCUAAGAUGAAGUCUUAUGUAACAUAACAUAAUCAUGAGAGUGACAUCCCAUCACCCUUGCCAUAUUCUGUCCAUUAGAAGCAAGUCCCAGGUUCUGCCUGUAUUCAGGGGAGAGAGCUAUACAAAGGGAUGACUCAUUCGAGCUCAACUUAAGGUGCAUCCACCACAUUGGUCUUCAACUUCCACUCAUGCCCUCCUACACAGUUUAUUCUCCAUACAGUAGCCAGAGUGAUCUUUUUCUUUUUUUAAAUCUUUUUUUUUUUAAUUUUUUUUUCCUUUUUCUCCCCAAAGCCCCCCGGUACAUAGUUGUAUAUUCUUUGUUGUGGGUCCUUCUAGUUGUGGCAUGCAGGACCCUGCCUCAGCGUGGUUUGAUGAGCAGUGCCAUGUCCGCGCCCAGGAUUCGAACCAACGAAACACUGGGCCGCCUGCAGCGAAGCGCCCGAACUUAACCACUCAGCCAUGGGACCAGCCCCGAGAGCGAUCUUUUUAAAAUGUAAAACUAAC